rnacentral:lncRNA from 1 species
UUACUUUACUUUUACUUUAGUCUGUACUGUUCCGCCUAUAUCAGACGACCCACUUUUCAGUGUGAAUAUCAUACGUAUAUAUAUUGUCAGUUAAUCCAAUGCACUAGUAUUGAUUGUUUAUACACAUUAACCACCACCUCUAUUUACACACGAGAAUAAAUACAUCCCAUGAAUAUAUACAUGACCGAAACUGGAGCGCAAGUCAUUGGACUCUAAAAUGUUCGUUGCUCCAUUUCAA